rnacentral:lncRNA from 1 species
ACUUCCCUUAUUCAAGGGGAGGGGGAGGGGUUUCAGCAACUUUUGGCUAGUAGCUAUCCCUGUAUAAGUUCUUUCUAGACAGGAUGUUUAAGAGAUCUCACUGCAGGGUGUUCCCUCUGGUUUUUGUCUGUUGCUAUCUGGAGGUGGAAAGAUGUCAUGUUGAUUUAAAGGACUACUAGUCAGCUGCAGGCUCCAGGAAUUGCUGCAGAAUCAGGUAUGGCUUUCCAUUCAAGAUUUGGUUUUAAACUUCUUGAUUUGCUUUAAAAACCCGACUUCUCCUGUCACAUUUUAAUUCAGUCUCAUUUUUUCAAGCUGUUGAAAAGUGGGUGAGUUUGUGUGCUUUUCUCUCCUUUCCCCCCAACCCUACUCCACCAUGGUAGCCUGAGUUUGGCUCCAGUAACCAAACUUCAAGUCUCUCCAAAUCUCAGACUGUCAAAUAUUGGGUCUUUCAGAAUUUAUUCUGUCACCCACCUCUCAGGUCAGCUAUUCCUUCACUAUCUCUCUUCUUUGUUGUGGAGAGAGCAGGGUUUACUGCACAGCUCCAUUCUGCCAUCUACUUCUCCAACCACAUUGUAUAUUAACAAAAACAAUUUACUUUUUCUUCACAAUUCAAGUUAUUUUGAUUUCUUUCUCUUGUUACAAGCCCUGACUAAAAUCUCACCUACAGUGUUAAAAUUGAUAAUGAAGAAGACAUGCUCAAAAUGUUUCCAAAUGUAAAGGAAGGGCAAUAGACAUAUUGACAACACAUAAAAUGUUGGCUGUAAUAUAUUUGUUGUUCUAUAUAACCUUCAUCUGAUUGAGAAGUUUUGCUGAGAGUUUUAUCAUGAAUGGGUGUUGAAUCAUUAAAUGUUUUUUUUUUUUUUUCCUGCAUCUCCUGAGAUGAUAAUAAGGUUUUCCUCAUUUGGUUAUAUUUAUUGAUUUCCCAAUAUUAACUCAACUUUGCAUUCCCUUGAUAUACCUUAUAAGUUAUGAUGCAUUUUUUUGGUGUGUGUCACUAAUAAACUAUAUCAUGACAGAUAUUAGUUUAUACUUAUCUUGUUAGAGCUUAAUUGUUGAAUUCAAGAGGAUUAUUCAGAAGUUCUAACCCUAUUUUAUGUGUUUUGUGAAGAUUUUUCCUCAAGUAAUCCAUACAUUUUAUUUGAGCUAUUGAGUAUAUUGACAUGAAGUUGUUCAAAAUACCCCCUUAUUUACUUUGGUUUUCUUUGUACAAUGAUUUUAUAAUUUAUGAAAUUAUAUAUGACUAUAUAAUUUCUCUCCUUCUACACUUUGAACCAUGAUUUCUAUAGAGCAUUUUCUGCUUAUCAGUUAUCUCUGACUAAAUAUGAUUAUACAACUGUCUUAUCAGGUACUCACAUGUUUAUUUACCUGUUUAAAAUCUUCUUUUUAUAUAUGGUAGAUCUGAAGAACCCAUACUCAUAGAUACUGUGAAAAUAUAAUUCUUUUUCCCAAAUGUAACAAUAAAUUAUUUGACAUCUUGGGUUUUAGAUUGUGAGGUAAUGGAAUUGAUCUUCUUCACAAUGAUACAGUAAUUGAUAGUGUGUCUAUUUUAUGGUAUACAUAAGUUUGUCACCAAAAUGAAAGAUGUGAGAAGCAAAAUAUGUUUAUUGUUAUGAAUAACUUUCAUAUACACUCAUCCAAAUUUUCUAUCUAACCUUCUCUAACCUGCUUUGUACAUAGGAGGCUGAAGUAUACAGACUGCAUUAACAAGCUCUAUGAGUUAAACAUUAAAUUGGGUAUAUGGCUACACCCAUCGUAUGGGGUUACAUCCCAAUAAACACAUUGAAAACUGAAAAUAUUGUAAUUCUAAAAUGCAUUUAAUACAUCUAGCCUACUGAACACCAUAGCUUAGCAACACAGAACAACUGUAGAGUUUCUGUUGUAUGGUUCAUGAGUGCAUGGCUGUCCUGGAAGCUGUGACUCAUUGCCAGUGCCCAUUACUGUAAGACAGUAUUGUAAGGUAUAUUGUUAGCUCAGGAAAUUCAAUGUAGGUUUUAUGCUGAAUGCAUAGUUAGAACUCUUAUAAAGUUUUAAAAAAUGAUAUGGCAACAUAGUAAGUCAGGGACAGUACUCUGACCCUCCAUAGUAAGUUAUAUUGCUAAUUAGCUGCCUUUACUAUAAAACUUCCAGAUCAUGGUCUCAACUUUUUCCUCUUAUCCCUUUUCCUAACCAUUUUAAGCCCAAGUGUAAUGUUACCCAAAUAUUAAGAGUCACAGGAAUACUAACUUUCCCAUAUCUUCGUACAUGGCUUCUUUAUAUAGGAUAGCACUAUUUCACAAGUAGCCAAGCCCAAAUCUAUGCAUAUGUAUAUAAAAAUAAAUUUAUAUACAUGUAGGAUUUUCAUAUAAAAUGAGGUUGCCUAUUUAAAGCAGUAAGAAAUAAUAUAUUUUAGAAAUUUUGAAAUUUGCAUUAUGACAUAUACCAGAAUAAAUUCCAAAAAUGUAAAUAAUGAAAUAUUGAAAGAAACCAAUAAAAGGUCUAUUUUCCUCAUCCUAGUGAAAGUUUUUCUAUGUAUAACACAAAUUCCAGAAUAUAUCAAGAGAAAAAAUGUGUUAUAUUUCACCACAUAAGAUCUAAAUGCAUACUACAGUUAGAGCAGCCUUUUUCAUGCUGCUAUGCAGCCAAAUUAUGAACUCAGAAAGGAAACAGACACAAAAACAUUACAUGACAAUUUACUGGAGCCCUAUCCCCUAGAUAGUGAAAAGCAGAAUAGAUUUGGCCUCUCUAGCUUACUAGACAUGACUGUGAUAUUCAAGAAACUGCAACAAUACAGAGACAAACUUUGGUUAAAAAAAUAUGGUUGUAAUCAGUACACAAUCAUGGGGUACCAUUUCCCUCUUGGAGAGAGUCUAGAGUUCACACAUUCCCUUGAUUCAGUUCACAUAUACUGUGUAAAGUUCUCACACAUAUUGCUUUUUCCCCUUUCCCCACUUAAACAUUGAAUAAUUUUGAGUGAUGCUGAUGUCUAUGUUAAAUGAGGUAGAUCACACAUGGUUCUACGAAUAAUAAUGAUAUCUGAAAGGAAAUAUCCUUGACUUGACCAUCUAGUAAUACCUAAUUUUCCUCACUGAGGGACCCUGAAGUUGUGUGGCUUCACAAAGUAAUUCAGGAUAAGAGACACAUUAGUCAGACAAGGAAAGUUCUAUGACCACUAACAUUUUAUGCCAUUUUAGAUUCUGUAAAAGGUGUUACCAUCUCUUAAAGACAGCCUUCUCAAAAAUAAAAGUGAGUUAUUUCUGUGCCAUCAUCACUAAACAUCUUUACUUUUAACAAUAUGUGUAAGCAUAAUCAAAAUAAAAGUGGAUGACAUAAGUAAUAGUUAAUCCUCCAUGUAUAUGAAAAAUCAGAAAAGAACAAUUUAUUAGUAUUUUAGUGCCUUUAAAGAAAUAAUAAAAUUCUCUUAAAACCAAAUGUUAUCAAAAUGCAAAAAAAGUCAAGUUGAGAGUAUGUCCUAGAAAACAUUAAAAAAAUCAACUGUAUAAAACAUAUAUAUAAAAUACAGAGUAUCUGAUCAAGAGCUACUAUAGCUAAUAACAAUUUCUCUAGAAAGGGAAGUCAAAAAAUUAGAGAGGAGGUACUAGAAAAAAAUGUCCCUUUAGUAGAAAAAGAAAAUAUCUUCACAACAAAAUGACUUAUUGAUUACUAACAUCAAAAAAAAAAAAGAAAGAAAAGAAAAGAAAAAGAAAAAAGAAACGGGGCUAAUGUUGUGGCUCAGUGGUAGAGUACUUGCCUAGCAUGCAUGAGGCACUGGAUUUGAUCCUCAGCACCACAUAAAAAUAAAAUAAAGAAAUUAUGUCCACCUACAACUAAAAAAUAAUAUAAAAAUAGAAACAAGGAAAGACUUACAUGUAAAUAUCUCAUGACUUUAUAACAAAAAUGUUAAAAAGUUACUAACAAUUUCUUAAUUAUUAAUGAAUUUACUUGUUUAUUUAUGUGUGCUAGGAAUCAAACCCAGGACCUCCCACAUGUUAUUCAAGUGCUUUCCCACUGAACUUUCCCUAGACCCAAUUAAUACUUUUAAGGGCAAAAAGAAGAUAUGCUACUUUUUAUAGGCAAUACUGAAUGCUAGGAUAUCUUGGAACAGGGUUUUAAAAACUCUCAUAUAAACAUUUAGAAUCAAGAAUACUUUAACCAGGAAAACAAAUUUAUUUUCCAACAUGAAAUGAAUCAAGUAGUUUGCUUCUAAAACAUGUUUUCUGGUAAUUUACUCUAGGUUGUACUUAAGCAAAAUGAGGAUAAAACAAAACAAAAAAAAAAUGCAUGAGAUGUAGAAAAUAGCAAAUGAGUCACUUAAAAGGAGAUUGAGAAAUUCCCUUUUUAAUUUUUUUUGGUUAUCAAUAGACCUUUUUAUUUUAUUUAUUUAUAUGUGGUGCUGAGAAUCAAACUCAGUACCUCGCACAUACUAGGCAAGUGCUCUGCCACUGAGCCAUAACCCCAGCCCCAUGAAAUUCCCUUUUAAUACAUGAACUAAGAGUAAAAUAUACAGUUUUUUGAAGCAUGGGGUCAAAGAACUCUAGAUAAGUAUCUUUGUGGAAAAAAGGAAACACUACCAGGAAAGUAGUAUAAUUCAUAGGGUAGAAUCACACAAUAAAAAUAAUCCAUUAAUUCAGUCAAUAUAUAUUCUUGAGCACUGACCUUAUUUCUAUAGGCACCAAAUUAACAAUAGUGUGUAUGUAUACACACAGGCACGUUGAUGCACUUGCAUGCACACAGAUUAAGGGAAAGAUCCUCUUCCAAGGAACAUUUCUAGAGUUAGAAGAUAAAAAUGUUAGAAUACACACACACACACACACACACUGUACACACAUUAUUAGAAAAGAUAUGAUUGGGAAAAAAAAACAUGAUGUGAAGAUAGAUGGUAGUCACUAUUAUUUUCUAUAGAUUAAGUAGAAAAGUUCUCCUUCCUCAGGAUUAGCUUGGGCUGAAACUUUCAGUCUUAGGAACAUGUAAGGGAACUGUGCAGCUGAAAUGGGGAGAAUAACAGGAAGCACUGAACAAGAAGAAAGUAGAGACCUAAUAAGACAUCAUGGGGGACCUUAAAGCUAUAAUAAAGACUGCAUUUGACUCUGAGUGACACAGAAGACAAUUGGAUGACUUGAUGGGAUCACUUUUUUAUGUAAAAAAAAGUGUUAGGGAUAAAGAAUGGAAAAAUGAAAACCAGUGAAGGGACUAUUAUAAUAAUUCAGAGGAAAGAUGAUGAUUAUUUGGGAUAGGAUUUUAACAAUGGAAAUGACAAGAGGGAGUCAGAUUUGUGAUAUGAUUACAAGGUAUGGCUGACAGGAGCUUUGACUGGAUUGGAUAUAUAUGAGAGUAAAAGAGAUGAGUCAAGAUUGACAGUGAAGUAUUUGGCACAAGGAACUGGAACAACAGAGUUUCUACUUUUAGGGAUGAGAAGAGUGAAGAAAGAACAGGCUUGAGGAACAGGAAACAAGUAUGUGUCAGAUAUACAAGGCUGAAAUUGAUGAGAGAUGUUUGGAAUGGAAUUGUAUUUUUCCUCAAUAAAAAAUAAAAAUAAUUAUAAAAUUUCAGAAGAAAAUAAAACAUUGUCACAAGUCAGACAUAUUCCAAGUAUGUAGAAAAUUAAAUGAAAUAACACUUUAAGAAUUUGGGGAAUGUAAGAUUAUAUCUACAAACACAUACAUGUAAUCUUAUUUAUAUAUAAUCUUGAAUAUAUAAUAUUUAAUAUACAUAAUCUUCAAAUAUACAUAUAUGUGUGUUUGUGUAUAUAUGUCUUUAUUAAUGUAUUAUUUUACUUCAAAUAGCUAAUGAUCAAUACAUUGAAUUCAAAAGAAAAAAUUAUAAUCUUAGCACACUACUUGAUUGGUCAAUAAACAUUAUUUACACAUAGCAUUUGCAUUGUGUUUUAUUUGCAGUGGGUUUAUUUUUAUGUUGUGUAAAUUUACAGGCAAGGCAAAGAAAAUUAUGAUUGUGGUUGAAGAACAAAAUGUAGGAUUUAAAAUCUUCUCAAGUGUGAAAGUAAAUUUGUAAGUGACAGAUGGUAGGAGAUGAGAGAGCAAAGGAUGUGGAGAAUAUAUGAAGGUACUGAUAUUCUCAUUCUAUGCAAAGAAAUCAAAAUGUGUAUAUAACUUUUAUAGACUAACAAACUGAAUUAUGAAGUUAUUGAUUAAUAUUAAAGUUACCCAACAAAAGAACAUGUUAUGGCCAUAAACUUUUUGACACAGAUGAAUUUAGGUAAUGGAAUUACUUAAAAGUUCGAAUGUGCUAUUGAGAAGUUAAUAGAUUUUGUUCUAAAGUUAAUCAGGAUAUAGAUUUAUAAGCAUGUUAUUUUAAUUUUGCAAAUUACUUCAAUAGAUGUUAUAUUGGAGGCUUAAUGUGGGCUAAAGAGAAUUGAUAAAUGAGAUUUUCUAAGUCUUUUCAGCAAGAUCCCCGCUGUGUUAAUUGAUUAUAGUAGUGAUGUAAAUAUUUAAGAAUUUAUUAAAAAAUAUAAAAGCCUUUGAUAAAUAAUAGGAAGAAAAAAGUAAGUUUAAAAACAUAGAAGAAAUUCUAAAAAUGUCACCUUGCAACACACAAAUAUCUAGUCCCUCCCAUAUAUAAAUAUUUCCUUGAACUGUUAAGAUUUAUUUCAUUUCACAUACAUUUAAUAAUCUAAACAAGCUGUUUUAGUGCAUUGGGCUGUCAGAAAUUAUAGGCUACAAACUUUCACCAAUUGUCAUUAUAAAAUAAUAAGGUAAUACUGUAUUUGAUAUAAAGCCUUAUAAAAAUAGAAAUAAUCUUAUAACCCUAAGUACUUGAAAAAGUUAAAUGCUAUGCUGACAUUGAUAUUGUCCUUUUCAGCAUGAUAAGAAGAUGAGGUUGUACAAUGUUUACAUUCCUGUAAUUAUAGAGCAAGGGCAGUGUUCAUGCUGUUCACUUUGAGCCAUGUAGAGCAAGAUUAAGCUCUACAUACUCUGGUCAUUGUUAUCAUGCUUAAAAUUGUUCUCCUAUAUUUAAUUUUAAUAAAUUAAAAUAAAUAUUUCUAAGAUAGGUAAUUUAUUAUAUUUUAACCAUAAGGCUUAUAAUCCUCUAACCACUUAAUGAAAACAUUGAGUGACUAGUUCCAUGUAAUGAAUUUCCCCAAAUACUAAGAUGAACUUUGUUGAACAGAGAGCAAUGUUUUCUAUUUAGACAUUCCCUCUUUCUACUGCUUUAAUAACCCGAUCAGUCAGAGCUAUCUCUGACAGUUCUGAAUUAAAUUUAACAUGAAAUUUAACUUCUUCCUUACCUUCAUGAAGAUGGUGUUCUGGAUUUUUGCUUCCCUUACCUCCAUGUAGAUGAUUUAUUCUUACAUGCCAGCAACAUGGAAACUGGUUUCUUGGACAUAUUUUCUUUUAUAUCUAACACAGGAAGUAAGAAAUGAGAACUCUUUCAUUAGGGGACCCAUUAUUAAUAAUUUCAACUUUUGUUUAUUGGUGAUAUCAUGAUGGUUAAGAUAAUAAAUGGCCUCAUUCUUCAGUGGAAAUUUCUCCAACCUAAAGAGAAACACUUGGCCAAACAGGAUAAAAGAACGUAAAACAUUACAUUAAUCUUAAACAUUAGUCCAAAGUGUAUAAACAUGUAUAUUACCCCCAAAUUCUGCUGGAUUUCUUACAGGUACACCAUGAGAUUAUUUUUAUAUCAUAACUUUGAAAAGAAAAUUUACUACUCUUUUAUUUUAUUUUAAAUAUUUUUUUAGUUGUAGAUGGACACAAUACCUUUAUUUUAUUUAUUUUUAUGUGGUAUUGGGAUCAAACCCAGUGCCUCACACAUGCUCAGCUAAUGCUCUACCCCAGCCCUACUGCUCUUUUAAAAGCAAUUUUAUUCACAUAGAGUUAAAUUGAAAUAUCCAUAUAUGUAGCUCUUACUUUGACUAAGAUUCAUUUCACAUACAUUUAAUAAUUUAAUAAUCUAAUAAUCUUUAUUUUUAAGGUAAAAUUGCUUUUCUAUGACUACCAUGUUGAACAGAUCAAACUUUCUCUUCUGGUUAUUUGUAUAUAUUAAUAUUUUUACUCUGUUGAUUACUUUUUCAUUUCUGAUCAGAUUCCUCCUUUUUUUUGCAUAUUGGAAACCUAGUUCAUCUCUGGAACCUAGUUCAUCUCUCUCACUAGAACCCAACUGGUCUGGUAGGCAAGUAUUGCCCAAAUGUGCAAAAUUCUUUAUGGAAAUAGCACAUCCUUAUGACUUGGUUUUUAACUACACUGUGGCAAUGUUUAGCAAAAUGAUUAUAUAUUUGAUAUAGUUAUCAAAGUUAACCAGAUCUUUUUUAAAAAUAAAUUGUGGGAUAGUGUGGAAAAUAACAUGGCUUUUUGGAGGAGGUAUAUAUUCAUAUUUUUCCAUAGCUCCUUAAAUGAAAUGUGAUUAAUACACAUGUAGAAUUGGUGCAUGCUGCUUUCCCUAUGAUAUCUCACCUAAACACCACUCUUUAGAUUUGGAUGUUUUCAAUAUGUUAAGGACAUUCCAAAGGAAUUUUAAAGGGCCAGAAUUAAAAAUCAUCAUCUUCCCUUCAAGGAAACUGCUACAAGUAAUAAAACAUUAUUCAAAGUCUUAGCUCAUCUUUUUAAUAUGCCCUCUGCUCUGUGUUACUAGAACCACAUGAACCUCUGUUUCUCAUUUUACUAUAUUAACACACUAAACAUGGAACCCCAAAAUGCUACUUUAUGAUUACAGAAUGAAGUUUUAAUUAUAUUCUAUGCCUUAUAGUCGUCAAGAUAGGUCUUAGCUUUGCCAAAAGGGUUGAAAUAAAAGUGAGCCAUUAUUUUAAAAAAUAGUUAAUACUGUACUGGGGUUGUGGCUCAGUGGUAGAGCAGUUGUCUAGUGUGUGUAAGGCACUGGGUUUAAUCCUCAGCUCUGCAUAUAAAUAAAUUUUAAAAAAUAAAGAUCCAUCAAAAACUGAUAAAAAUAUUUUAAAAAUAAUUAAUCCACUAUUCAUUUUUCGGACUAAUUUCAAAUACCUCUUCCUCCUAAAAGCCUAAUUGGAAAUUAUAUAGCCUUUCUAGAUUUCUCAACUGUCCUAUUUCUUUUUCUAGGACAUAUGCUACACUCUAUAUUAUUGUUAUAGUUUAUAGUCAUCACAUUUCUUACUAUGGGAUUAAGUUAUUUGAGAAUAGGAAUUCUUCCUUACUCAUUAUGUACAACAAUCAAAUCUAUUUUGUUAGAUGAAUGUUGAAGUAAACUUAAAUUUCCACUUCCCUUCUCAACCUCAUUAAAGUACCUAUGCAUUUUAUGUGUAACUUAACCAAUGUAUCAGCUGAAAAAAUAUUGUCUAUGAUUGGUGUAAUUCUUCAACUCACCCAGUAAAAACUAUAGACAAAUGUAAGAAUUAUAAUUAGUUUAUUAGUUCAUGUUAAUCUAUUAAUUAUAAUCUAUAAGUAGCUAUUGAAAUGCAAUUCUUUUUUUUCUUGGCUAAAUAUUUCUAUUUUAUUUAAACAGUCUAUUUACUGUCAUGUUCCUGUUUUCACUUUCUCUUGCUUAGCCAGCCAUGAGUUCUACAUAUCUUCCUCAUAAGGUCUUCUGUGCUCUCCUUGCCCAACUCACAGUUCCUCUGAUCACGAAGGCUCCUCCAGGAGUGUAUACAAAGAUGGGUAUUAUAGAGCUCCAUAUGAUCCACCAUAUGUUGCAUGCACAAGUAAGUUCAUGUUGUGAAAGUAAAAAAGGGCUGAAAUGCAAUUCUUAAAGUUUAUACAUAUAUGUAGCAAUGUGAAAAAAGUAUCAAUGUGAAUUUUAUGUAAAAUUCCUUAGCUUAUCUCUCACAUUAGAAUGUGUUAAAAGUUAUCUAUGACAAUUCAAAUUUGUAUUUUUCUUUAUUGGUUAUUUUUUUAUAAAAUUUUAUAUGUAAGUAUAUGACCAGAAAGUACUAUAAGAUUCAAAGUAAUCUAAUACAAAUCUAAUACAUCUUGUACACAUCACUGUGAGAUUGCCAAUGUUCGUAAAUCUGUUGUCAUUUGAGUAUUUGAAAUUAACUGUUCUUCAACCUCUGAUAUAAUUACAUUUUAGUAAAAUGGCAAAGCAAGGAUCAACUCAAACUUUAGAUUCACUGCCUAUUCAUGACCUGAAUUUGAUAUUUCAUUUCUUCCAAUAUAAAAUUUAAGUAGAAAAACUUUCUUAAAUAACAUUUAUCCAAAAUGUAAAACACAGCUCAAGAUAAUUCAGAAUGUUAAAUACAAUAUGGAAUCAGCAUGAUUUAUACCUAUUUUACUUAUUAAACCAUUUAUUCAAUGGAAAAUACAUAUUUCAGGCUGUCCACAUGCUAUGCACAGUUGUUGCAUUCAUUGAGACCAUAGCCCAGCAGGAAACAUAGAUACUGAAUAAGUAAUAACAAAUAUGAUAAAGAUUAAUGAACAAGUUUUGUACAUUAAUUAUAGAUAUAAAUGAGCAUGGGUUACCUUUUGUAUUAUAUUAAAACACGUUGAAGACAUUUAUGGAUUUAAGCAUUUCAUGAAACAUCUUGUGACUAGUUAGAUGAUAAAUAUACAUAAAAUGAACAAAGAAAUUAAUAUAUAAGCCUAGCAUCCAUGUUGGGUGCCUAAAGGAAAUAAUGGAAUAUGAGAAAUGUAAUGCAAAGAAUUUUACAUAAGGACUAGAUUAUAUAUUCUCAAAUUUUAUUAGAAACUCUAAGAACAAAUCAGGUUUUCACAUAGAGUGCAGGACUUAGAAUAGAUCUAAGAAGACUUUUCAAAGAGUGGCAGUCAUUAAAUAUUAUAAUUGAUUUCCAAAUGAAGUUGUCAAAUCCUUUUCACAUGUCUUUGAAAAUAAGAUAGGGGUUUCAUCUGUUCAGGAUGCUUUAAUUGUCUCUACAUUAUGCCAAAACAUCUGCUAGUUUCAGUCAAUAGUAAAAACUCCGCACUGUCAAUUCAAAGAAUAAAAUCAGAUCAAUCAUUUUUUUGGCAUCAUGUAGCUCAAACAAACCUGCUGACUGACAUUUUUAUUUCUCUUCAAAUUAUUCUAGCUUAAUGUAAACUCAAAACUCUUAUAGUUCUAAGAGGGCUACAUUAACUAAGUAAAUUUUCUAAUGCUUUUCAACUAUACAUGCAUAAAAUUGUUUGUGUUCAUAAUUUAUGAAUAUAAAGUACUUGUAACCCUUAUAUAAUUUGAGUGAGGCAUGCUUUAAGUAUGCUUGGAAAAAGUUGAAAUGAGAAAAUGACAAUGUUGAUAUUUAAAUUAAAAUGUUAUUGCUAGAACUCAAGAAGUUGCAAUAAAAUUCAAAGGUAAGUAUAUUUUACAUAGUUUCCUAUAUACUCAUUAUAAAUAGCUAUAUGUAGGGGGAAAAAACGUUGGAAAGAAUAGCCGUAACACUAAUAUUAAGGAUAAUGAGGAAGAAAUUGCUUUUUUAAAAUUUCUAGCUAAAAUAACAGCUUGGCUGAUGCUUGAUGAAUACCUAUUGGAUAGAAUAAUUGGCUGGUUGCUUUAUAUGUUGAGACACUGAUCUGAGAUGUGGUAAAUAGUGGUAUAAUUCAUCUGUCAAUUCAGUAUGCUAAAAACAAUUCCUUUUUUUUUAGUUUUUAGAGAUAUUGUGCUAUUUUUCCUAUUUUGACUAAAACAUGGGUAAAUUUCUAUUUCUAUUAAUUCAGAUUUGAGUGUUAAAAAUUGUGUCAAUAUGAAAUGCCAAGUUAGAGUCAGCAUACCAAGAAAUGGCAAAGGCAGAAGGAAGAAUGAGAUUCAAUAAACAGCCAAUUGUAAAGCCAUGUUACUGUACUAUUCCUAGGGUGUCAGCCAUCACAUCAAGGUGGUCCCCACUCCAUGGAGUAGGGGAUCAAUACUGGGGUUACUCAAGCACUCCCAUGAUGCUCAAGAUUUAGUGAUUGCACUUGUUCAUUUCCAGAAAUUCUGUCUGGUCCUUUUUCAAAUUUUAUAGUCUGUUAUUUUGUUGUUUCUUUUAGCUUGCUCAAUUAACUCAAAUGUCUGGGCUGCUAGCCACUCCAUUUGUUGAAAUUGCUGACUUCUGCAUGAUGACUUAUUUGUCUUGUAUCUUGAAAUUUUCUUUAAGUUCAAGCUCAUUCCAGUAGAAUUUUCUCUCUUGUGGGAUUCUUGAAUGAUCUUCUGUGUGGAAGGGCUCUCCAGAGAAGAGUCACAUUUGCUUAUUCUGGGACCCUAAGGGAGUCUGGAUACAUCUUCAGGUGAUUCAUAGGAAUAAACUAGGUGUGGGACACCCAGAGACUCUUUGUGCUAUCUUCUUAAGAUUGUUGUAAAUCUGAAACUUCUAAAAAUAUAAUCUGUUUAUUAAACAUUAGGGAUAAGGAUGAAAUAGAUAACAGAGCUAUUAUGUGCUGUAAGCAAUUUGAAUGUAUUUGGACCAUAUUUGGGAGCCUCUGAAAGACCGAGUUGUAAAUGUUUGCUUCGAAAGCCCCAUGAAGGCUCAGGUCAACAAGAGAUUUAGGUCAGAAGAGACCAGGUGGAGGCCUGCGCCAGGCAGUAGCAGUGGUACUGAAUGGGGGGCAGGAGUCAAGAGAGUAACCAAUGGAGUUAACAGCACUGAAUCCCUGAAUCAGUCAGGGCAGUAGACCAAAGAGGAGAGAAGUCUACCAUGAGGGGAUUCAAGUUGAAAAUUGAAAUAUUGGAAAUGUUUACAGUAGGAAAACAAUUCUUAAUCCUAAUUCAGUUUUGGUCAGGGAAUUUUCCAGUGAGAAGGAGAAACUGAAUAAUAAUGGUAUAUGGGGAAGGAAAUUACCAUUUACUACAUGCUCUACUCAAGUUUUUGUUUAUUGUUUUUUUCUUAGGAAAUGAAUAUUUCUAGUGAACACAAUUAAUUAUAUGCAGUAGUAAACCUUUAUAAAAGUUUCCUUGAGAAGAUAAUACUUAGGCUAAAUGCUUUACAUUUCUUUCUUAGUUGUUACAUUUAUGAGAUCAUUAAGUUAAGAAGAGGUCAGUGGUUCUAAAAGUAUUUUAAAACAACUGCUUCCAUGGUCUUUUACAGCAUAAUAUUGAUUUUAACUAUUCACAGUGUUACUUUGUAACUAAGUCAAGGUAUUACUAGUAGCAAUAACACUUGAGCCUCAAAACUUCAAAAGUUGUAAACAAUAUUAAAAGAUUGUUUAUUCACAUAAAAUUAAAAAUGGUUGUUCCACACCUGUGAGCAAUUCUACCUUAAAUAAUACUUUGGAAUGCAUGCUUUUUCUAUUUUAUGGCACCACCAUUUUUAGAGAUGUCUUCCAAGUUAUUAUUAUGUUCUUUUUUUUCAAUCAGUGGGGGAACAAAGGAUACACUGGAUAAUGAAUGGUGUUUCUUAAAGGCCAAGAUUGAAAGGGACAUUUUAAUUCCACUCACAUUCUAUUUUUAAGAACUUAGUCAUAUAGUCACACCUGCUUCUUGGUCAUAUAUGUGAAAUAUAUUCUAACUGUAUGCCCAAAAAUAAAAGUUGAGUUUCGAGGGAAGCUACUCAAACUGUGAAACACUCUUCUAGUUAUUAAAUAUCCUAUGCUGAGAAUACUCCCAAAAGAGAAUACCCCAAAUCUCAUCCAGUCAUUGCAUCUAAUUAAAAUCUAGUAUUAUCAGGAGAUGAGCAGUAGCUAUUGUCAAGUCUGCAUAUGGCUCCUCUUCAUCUGUAAAAUCUAUUAAUUGGGAUGACAAGUUUAUCAUUUUAGAAGACAGAAUAAUACUCCACCCUGUCUCUACUCCUUCUUCUUCGGGGACAUCCUAUACUAAGCUCCAGAACCAAUUUAUAUAUUAGGUUACAUGGUAAUGGAAAAUUAAGUUUGUAGAAAUUAAAUUAUGUUUCUGAUUAGCUGACUUUUACAUAAUUAUUAUAGAUUAUCUGAGGGAACCCAAUGUAAUCAUGAUGGUCAUUGAGAAUAGAAGAGGAGCCAGAAGUGUUCUCUGAGAGAAAGAGAUGUAAUGAUGAAAUGAGGUCAGGGUGAUGCAAUGUGAGGACUCAACCAACAUUGCUAUAUUUGAAAACAGACAAAGGGGCCAUGAUCCAAGUAAUGUGAGUUGUAAUCCUCUAGAUGCUAGAAAGGGAAAGAAAAUAAAUUAUUAGCUAGCAUUACCAUAAAGAAAUGUAGCCCUGCUGACAAUUUGAUUUUGACUUGAUGAUACUUGUAUUGCACUGCCUCCAAAAUGGUAAGAUAAUAAGUUUAUGUUGUCUUAAGCCACAAAAUUUGUUGUAAUUUUUAUAGCAGCAAAAUAAAUUAAUGCAAGUCUCUCUUUCCAUAAACAUCUAGUAUGCCAUCGUAGUAGUGGAACAGGAAAACUAGAAAAACAUUCCCAUGUAAAAAGGGAAAGUGGAAGAGAACAAGUAGGAAUAUCCUAGCAUACAGCAAGGAUAUAGCCUUUUGGAAAGGUAUGUGAGUCUCACAAUGCCCCUCCCCCAGUAAUUAGAGGUGUUCCUUGAUUACAGUUGAUUUUGAUUGGGGAGAAGCAAAUUCCCUAAUUUUUAGUAGGUAAGUCUCCUAGCUAUGCCUUCUUCAAGGUUAUUCCUCUGCCAUUAUUCUCUACCUGAAAUAGGUUUUGGGGAUUGUGAUUUCCUUAGGUACUUCAUUGUUUUUAGAUCCUGCUUCUUGGUCAUAUAAUUCAGGAGCCAUAAUAUUUUGGUUUUGUAAUUACUCCUCCAAAUUUGAAUAGGCUUAUUUUCUAUUUAAUUUUAGGUAGUUCCAGUGUCUUUAAACACAUUGAAGUUGUUUUCAAGUUAGCUAGAUAUGAUAUAUCCUUGGUUCUAUACCUGUGGUGUGCUGUAACUAGCCACUACUGGGUUUCAAGUUCUGAUUGGUAAAUUUUCAGGCAUUUUGGGAGCCAGUUGACAUUAUGUUGAUAGCUUGAAAUUGUCUGUGGUGGGAAUAGUUAUACCAUAGACAUGAGCAAAUACUAUAAAUCAUGGCUUUUUAUUUAUGUCCUUUUUGAAAGCCAUGUGUUAAAAAUUUAAUAGCACAGCAGUGUCUGUGUCUUUAUUUCUCAACUUAAUGUGGCUAACUUUACUCCCUCUGAAGAAAUCAGUGGGAAUACAGCAUAACAUAAUCUUGGCUGCAAAACUGAGUUAUGUUUUUCAACUGGGAAGUCAUACUAAGCCUUUCAUUCAAUGAUUUUUACAUUUUUAACUACUACUGUUUGGUGCUUAGAAUGACUCUGAUUUUCUAUCCCUUUAACUUCUUAAAUUUCUGAAUUUUCUCCACUUGCUAAAUAUUUCUGCUUAUACAUCAGCCAAUUAUUUCCCUAUCUUAUCUCCUAAUAAUACCUUACAAAAAGUGGACCAUAAAUGUCAACCCAUCAUUAUCACUGCCAUUCAAGUUACUGCAGGUGAAAUUUUCACCAAAUGUUUUCUCACUGUACCAGAUGGUUCUCACUGCAUUAUUGAUUUAACUGCCCAACCACUGUCCAACAACUAAACCACUCCAUAUAUUGUAAAGUUUUGUUAAAUUGUACCCUACUUCAAAGUGACAAUUUCUGUAUUACUUCAGAUAACAUUACCUACUGUAAUUGAUGAAUCCCAAAAUGUAAUUUUCUCAAUACAGUAGAAGUUUAUCUUCCACACAUAUCCAAAAUGGAUUUCAGCAAUUUGCAGAUGGCUCUUGUUCAAGUGGUGAUUCAGGGAUUCAGGCUCCUCUCUUAUGGCUCCUGUGUCCAAUAUACUGCUUUCCGGGUCACUUUGCUCUUCUGCUACCAGCUGGCAGUAAGAAAAAGAGCAUUGAGGAUAAUAAAUGGGGCACUUUUAUGGGCUAGUUCUGUAAGUGGCAUAUUUAAUUUCUGCUUACAUGUCUUUAGCUAGAAAUCAUUCACAUAGGCACUUUAUUGCAAAGGACACAGCACAUGUAAUCUAGAUGUUGGUAGAAGACAAGAAAUAAAUUUUGUAAAAAACCAGCUAGUGUCUAGCACUUUAAUUGUUCUGCUAACUAUGUUAUGUUAAUGGCUAAUGUGCCCCCAUGAUUUGAUUUUUAUCUUAUUUUAAAGAAUUUUAUAAUUUUGAAUAACACUAUAUCAACACCAUUAUGUACUGUCUAUUCUGGCUAUUAAUGGAAUUUUCAUUUCUGGAAAUCAAUAUCUCCAAAGAAAAUCAUAAAAUACAAAGUAUAUACCCUGUAAUACCCUCUAAGGGUAGCUUCAGAGUAAAUUUUCUUAUCUCUGAAAACAACAUAGAUGCAUAUUUGAUUCAGAAGCUGUAAAGCUGUAAUCAUUAGGCAUCUUAGUCAUAAAAUGUAAGUCCUUGUGUUUAAUUUCUGGUGUGGCACAAAGCAUUAUUCUAGUUAUUGAAUCUCUUUGAAUUACAAUGAGUUCAUCUGCAAAAUAAGAACUGAAAAUGUUAGCCAUUAUGUAGGAUUAUUGUGUGGAUUAAAUAAGAAAAUGUAUAUAAACUACUUAGCUCAGGACCUGAUAAAUAGUAAGCACUAAAUAAGUAUUAGAUAUUACUAAACAUGCUUUACUUCUGAAUUACCAACAUUUCAAACUGUCCUCACUGAGAAUUCAUUAAACCCUGUUAUACUCUGGAUUUUGAGGCUGUUGUACUCACUUUGAUCAUACUCAUCUAGCUCAUCAACUCUAGAUAUAACAUGAAUAAUUUAUAUUUUAUUUCACCACCAAGCACCAGUGUUUUUCAGAUUUAUUUUUGGGAAAAUCCAUAUUUUUAUUUCCGCAAUUUAGGCAAUUGUCUUAUAUCUUCCAAACAGACUUCUGAUAUGCUAGCAAAUAAUGAGAAACAACUUAAAAUCUAUGAAAAGCAGGAGGAGCAACCAUGUCUUGGAAGAAGAAAGAAAAUGGCAUGUGUACAUCCAUGAAGAUUAAUGAGCCACCAACACUCAUAUAAUAUUAAGAUGAAAUCCUAACUAUGCCACUUUGAAACCUGACAGGAUAAUGAUUAACAAUUUUAGAGUGUUUAUCAUAGGCCAGGCAUGUAGAUAAAAAGCAUGGCAAAUGUUAAUAUAUAUUAACUCAUUCCAUAUUCACAAAUACUGUAAAAAUUAUGUACUAUUACUAUCUCCAUUUUACAAAUGUUCAAACUCUGAGAUGCUACAUAUAAAUAUUUGUGCAAUUAUAAUGGGGCUAAAACAUACAUGAUAAAGAAUCUUCAGUUUUCCAUUUGCUUUCUAUCCUUGCAUUCUUUUCUUGCCAUUUUUACUAUCUAUUUGUGAAAUUUAAAUAUUCUAUAAAUGACAAACAUGCAAAGACAGUUCUUAGAAUGUAUUAUUCCUAUGGUUAUCCAGACUUCAAAGAAGGAGGAUGAAAAUAGGAAUGAUCCUGAACUAUGGAGUUUCAUUAAGGUAGUAAGCCAUUGCCAUUAUGGUUUGGAUCUGAAAAUGUUCCUCUAAAAGUUCAUGGUUUGAAAGCAUGAUCCCCAAGGCAGGAAUGUUCAGAGGUAAAAUGAUUGAUGAUUGACUUAUGAAAGCUAAUCGACUUCAUUAGUGGAUUAAUCCAUUUGGUGAAUUAAAAAUUUAAAUAGAUUACUAGGUGGUAACUGUGGACGGGUUGGAAGUAGCUGGAGGAACUAGGUCACUGGAGGAAUGUCCUGGUGAAGUUCCAGAUGAGGAUAACUAGAUAUGUCAUCCAACCACUUCCAGCGUUGGCAGACUCUGGUCACUAGAGGGGGUGUCUCAGAUCCUGAAAAAAGACUAAAACAAUCAUCAGCACCAGAGCAGUAGAAUACUGUGGAGUCUUACCCCUGCAGUUAGCUCUCAGAAUCCCCCAAAAGCCAUGGCCAGAUGUAGUUCACUCUGACUUUAACCCCUGGGGACUCAGGAUAGUGAAGUGCUUAGUCCGUGGCUGGCCGAUUCAGCCCAGGAAAUAUUUCCAGGAUGUACUAGGAGUCAGAGUAGGACCCUAAAGAAGGAGUGGACCAAGAAACAUAACAAUGUGGUAGCACAUAAUUUCUCCACUGUCAGUACUGGGAAAUAUAGAAAUAGAUGUUAUGCAGAGCAAUUCUUCCUCAGGGUGACCAAGACAGAGGAAUUGUACAGCUUCCCCAUGAGUCACAUGAGGAAACUGAGAACUGGUGAGGGCAACCACCUUAAGUCCCUAAUUAUGCAUUACUGAAGAUAAGAACAUUUUAACAUAACCAUAUACUACUAGCCCACUUAUUAAUAUUGAAAAUAUUUACUUAGUAUUAUGUAAUAUAUACUAUAUAUCUCACCAAUGUUCUCAAAGUUCGC